rnacentral:tRNA from 1 species
GCUGGCUUAGCUCAGUUGGUAGAGCAGCUGUUUUGUAAACAGCAGGUCAUCGGUUCAAAUCCGGUCGCCAGCUCCA